rnacentral:piRNA from 1 species
AUAGAAAGCAGAUGCUUUGACCAGU